rnacentral:tRNA from 1 species
GGAGGGAUGGCUGAGUCCGGUUGAAGGCGAUCGACUCGAAAUCGAUUAGGGGGCCAAAAGCUCCCUCGGGGGUUCAAAUCCCUCUCCCUCCGCCA